rnacentral:misc_RNA from 1 species
UCCCUCUUCAUGCAGUCGUGUUGCAGUGCAUCAUCAGCCUUUGUUCAGUCAUGACCACGAGACGAGAGACAGCACCACACGCAGACGCAGAGGCAGGUCCUUUCACAUGCCCACGACGCACAGCCUUUACCACCGCUGCUCUGCUCCCCUCAAAGCCAAGGCCAGUAGAAACCAGCCCAGCUUGCUCUCUCUGCUCUUCCCCCUCACACUUCUCCCUCGCUCAUCACUCAUAGUCACACAGUCACACUACAGAGCCCAGAGCCCUAGUGUCCUCCCCUCCCCUCCCCAUGGCCCCUCACCGCCUCCUCCAGCUUCUACUGCUCCUCGCCGCCGCCAUGACCACCGCCCGGUCCCAGACCCAGUCACCAGCCGCCGCGCCAUCCACCUCACCCUCCUCUACCGCCGCCGCCGCCCCAAGCCCCUCAUCCUCCUCCUCCCCGCCGCCCUCCAAGGACACCCACAUCUCCACCUCGCCCGCCGCGUCCCCGUCCUCGUCCCACGCCGGCGCCAAGCUCACCUCCCCGGCCGCCUCCCCCGCGCCCACCCACUCCCCGACCCCACCGACGCCACCGCCGUCUCCGCCCACCCCAGCCCCCACCAGCUCCUCGCCGCCGCCCGCAUUGCCGCCCCCGGCCGCGGCGCCGGCGCCGGCGCCCGUGGGCGCGAGCGCCCCUCCGCCCGCCGCGUCCUCCCCGCCGGUCCCAGCGCCGACGCUCGCCCCCGCGCCGUCGUCGUCCCCUCCGGCCCCGGCGCCCGUCCUCGCGGCGCCCGCGCCCGCGCCCAGCAAGAAGCCGACGCCGACGAAGAAGAAGCACGCGCCAGCACCGCUCGCGGCCGCGUCCCCGGCCACCGGCACCGGCACCGGCGUGGGCCUCGCCCCCGGCCCUGGCCCCUCCACCGCCGACAUGAUGAGCGGAGCGGCGCGGGGCUGCGGCGGGUGGGCGGCGACGGCGACGGCGGCGCUGGUUCUUCUGGCCGCGUCGCUGACGGUGGGUCCGAUGGUGGCGUGAUGGAUGGUAGAGCCACCUGUCAGGGUCGAGAGAGUGGUGGGUUGAUGUGAUGGGAUCUGCAUGGGUAGUACGUGCAUUGGUUCAAACACGCUGUAUUUUGUGCUACUGCCGCACGUCACGUUAUUAUUCUCUGCGUGGAGUUGACGCCCAGAAUAUAUAGUACCACCACUAUUAUAUUUUGUUUGCUAUUGUACAACAUUUUCAUGCUUGAUUACUUCUACCGUGCCUAUGAUGGUCAUUUGCUUCUGUCCUUUUUUUUUCUUUCUUUUGCUCUCCUAUAUGCUCGGCACACUUCCGUGUGGGUGGGCGCGGGGGCGUGGUCGGGCCCGCAUGCACGCAGUGACUCCAAUCGUAAGCCCUAUAAUUUGCUUUAGCUACUCGGUCAAUUUGUUGUUCAGGACCCAAACUAAAGCACCGAAACAAGGAUGCGGGAGCAAGACGCGGACGUUGCGAGGAAAACUGUGGUCCGGACUUAGGUACUAGGGAUACAUAUCGAGCUAGCUCGAUUCGGAUGGACCGAUCUCUAGCUGAUUCGUUAAGGUAAUGAGUUGAAUCGACCGGCGAAUGAACUUAAAUCUCUGGUGCCCAUCUAUGUUGUGGCCUGCACUAGCCAUAUCCUAAUGUGAACCGUGACAUGUACAACAGAAUACAACAUAAAUAUAAG